AGCUAUAUCACAUUGAAACAAUGCUUCUCAUAUGAUCACUGAAGUUAAGCAACAUCAAGCCUGUUUAGUACCAAGAUAGGUGACCACUUGGGAAUACCAGAUGCAGU